rnacentral:rRNA from 1 species
CCUACGGGAGGCAGCAGUGAGGAAUAUUGGUCAAUGGGCGUAAGCCUGAACCAGCCAAGUCGCGUGAGGGAUGAAGGUUCUAUGGAUCGUAAACCUCUUUUAUAAGGGAAUAAAGUGCGGGACGUGUCCCGUUUUGUAUUUACCUUAUGAAUAAGGAUCGGAUAACUCCGUUCCAUCAGCCGCGGUAAUACGGAGGAUCCGAGCGUUAUCCGGAUUUAUUGGGUUUAAAGGGUGCGUAGGCGGCCUUUUAAGUCAGCGGUGAAAGUCUGUGGCUCAACCAUAGAAUUGCCGUUGAAACUGGGAGGCUUGAGUAUGUUUGAGGCAGGCGGAAUGCGUGGUGUAGCGGUGAAAUGCUUAGAUAUCACGCAGAACCCCGAGUGCGAAGGCAGCAUACUGGCGCUCAACUGACGCUCAUGCACGAAAGUGUGGGUAUCGAACAGGAUUAGAUACCCCAGUAGUC